rnacentral:rRNA from 1 species
GACGCAGCGACGCCGCGUGCGGGAUGAAGGCCUUCGGGUGUAAACCGCUUCAGCAGGGACGAAAUUGACGGUACCUGCAGAAGAAGGCCCGGCCAACUACGUGCCAGCAGCCGCGGUAAUACGUAGGGGCCAAGCGUUGUCCGGAUUUAUUGGGCGUAAAGAGCUCGUAGGCGGUUCGGUAAGUCAGCUGUGAAAUCUCCACGCUCAACGUGGAGGGGUCAGCUGAUACUGCCGUGACUUGAGUCUGGUAGGGGAGUGCGGAAUUCCCGGUGUAGCGGUGAAAUGCGCAGAUAUCGGGAGGAACACCAGUGGCGAAGGCGGCACUCUGGGCCAGUACUGACGCUGAGGAGCGAAAGCGUGGGGAGCGAACAGGAUUAGAUACCCUGGUAGUCCACGCCGUAAACGUUGGGCACUAGGUGUGGGAACCUAUCGACGGUUUCCGUGCCGUAGCUAACGCAUUAAGUGCCCCGCCUGGGGAGUACGGCCGCAAGGCUA